AAGUGCUGGGAUUACAGGUGUGAGCCACCGCGCCCGGCCUGAAAAGUGCAUCUUCAUUUUACAGGGAAUUCUUUCAAAUCAAAUAAUCAAAAACUGUAAAAGGGGGCAAAGUACUUUUUUGCAGAUCUACAAGUUUCUUAUGUAAAUAGGAAAAAAAGCCUUUGCUUUUCUGGUAUAAGAAUUUAAAUUAAAAGAGGAAUGAAACUGUUUUCUAUCCACAAUGUGUGAGGAUGUUUUUUAUACUGCUGCCUGAAGUUUAAGUUGCUGAUUACUUUUUAAAUAGAUAAUUUGGUGGUAAGUACUAUAUUUUAAAAAUGCGUAUGCCCGUUACCCUUCAAUUCCAUUAUACUAAAAUACCCUUGGGAAAUAGAGAUACAUGCACUUUGUUUUUCACAGCACUUAUUUUAAAAAGAACCCAUAGAAUGGAUCUUAUAAGUAAAUUUCAGUUGCAUCCAUAGGAUGCAAUAAUAUGUGACCAUCAAAGGUGACAAUAGAUAUAGAAGUACGUUGAUGUGCGAAGAUGUAUUUUGUUUUAGCCAGCGAGGAAAAAAGAAUCAGUUUGAUUAUACAUUUACCAAACAUUAAGAAUUUAAUAUGGUAACUUUUAUUUCAGUAUUAAAAUAGCAAUUUUAUUUAUUACUUUUUUAUAUACAGAAUUCGACACCAAAUUUUGGAACUUAAAAAGAAGAUUCUUAAAACUUACAAUCCAGAUUACGAUGAGGACCUGGUGCAGGAAGCUUCAUCUGAAGAUGUCCUGGGCGUUCAUAUGGUGGACAAAGACACAGAGAGAGACAUUGAGAUGAAACGGCAACUACGGCGACUACGGGAGCUCCACCUAUACAGCACAUGGAAGAAGUACCAAGAGGCGAUGAAGACAUCCUUGGGAGUUCCACAAUGUGAGCGUGACGAAGGCUCCUUGGGCAAGCCAUUGUGUCCACCCGAGAUACUCUCGGAGACGUUGCCAGGCUCUGUGAAGAAAAGGGUAUGCUUUCCAUCAGAAGAUCAUCUAGAGGAGUUUAUAGCAGAACAUCUCCCUGAAGCAUCCAAUCAGAGUCUCCUCACUGUUGCCCAUGCAGACACAGGCAUCCAAACCAACGGUGACCUGGAAGACCUGGAGGAGCAUGGGCCAGGGCAGACAGUCUCUGAGGAAGCCACAGAAGUUCACAUGAUGGAGGGGGACCCAGACACACUGGCCGAACUUCUGAUCAGGGAUGUACUUCAGGAGCUGUCCAGUUACAACGGCGAGGAGGAGGACCCAGAGGAGGUGAAGACAUCCUUGGGAGUUCCACAACGUGGUGACCUGGAAGACCUGGAGGAGCAUGUGCCAGGGCAGACAGUCUCUGAGGAAGCCACAGGGGUUCACAUGAUGCAGGUGGACCCAGCCACGCCGGCAAAGAGUGACCUGGAAGACCUGGAGGAGCAUGUGCCAGGGCAGACAGUCUCUGAGGAAGCCACAGGGGUUCACAUGAUGCAGGUGGACCCAGCCACACUGGCAAAGCAAUUGGAAGACUCCACCAUUACAGGCAGCCACCAGCAGAUGUCAGCAAGUCCUUCCUCUGCACCUGCAGAAGAAGCAACAGAAAAGACCAAAGUGGAAGAGGAAGUGAAAACCAGAAAGCCCAAGAAGAAAACCAGGAAGCCCAGCAAGAAAAGCCGGUGGAAUGUCCUGAAAUGUUGGGACAUUUUUAAUAUAUUUUAGAGACCUCUGAAGAUUCCUCGACCACCAGGAAGGGCCCCGACGUGGGGAUGUCAACAUGGCUCAGACUUGAUGUGGAUCGUGAUCAUUUCGGGAAAUGUGUUACUCCAAAAACUUUUAUAAUCUUUGCUUAAUUUGUUUUUAAAUACUUUCCUGGCUGGGCGUGGUGGCUUAUGCCUGUAAUCCCAGCACUUUGGGAGGCCGAGGCGGGUGGAUCACCUGAGGUCAGGAGUUAAAGACCAGCCUGGCCAACAAGGUGAAACCCCGUCUCUACUAAAAAUACAAAAAUUAGCUAGGCGUGGUGGCGCACUCUUGUAGUCCCAGCUAUUUGGGAGGCUGAGGCAGGAGAAUCACUUGACCUCAGGAGGCGGAGGUUGCAGUGAGCCGAGAUCAUGCCACUGCACCCCAGCACCUGGCUACAGAGUGAGACUUUGUCUCAAAAAAAAAAAAAAAAGAACAAAAAAAUUCUGACUUUAACCUCUGUUUUUCAGAGGGCACAAAUUGUUCUUGUAUUGUUUCCAUUUUACAUUUUUUUCUUGAAGUUAUUUUCCAAUUGUUUUCAUUCUUUCUGAAGUUUUGUUUACUCGGUUUUAAGUUUUUGUAAUUUUGAUAGACUUUUGUGCUUUCAUUUUCUUAAUGACUUUUACCUCAUUUUUAAAACAAAUCCAUAGUAUGGAUGAUAUUGAUGAUGAAAUGUCUUACGAUGAUCAUUUAGAGGUUUAUUUUGAACAACUGGCAAUUCCAGGAAUGAUGGAAUAAAGCAUACGAAGUAGAAGGACUGGAACCUCCAGAAAAAGUACUUUAAGUUACCUACAGGUGAUCCUAGUCAGGCAAAUGAAAACAGUAGCCUAAAGUGUCAGUUUCAACCAGAAAAUAACAGCUCUGAUUUCUCAUGGCUCAUACUCGUCUGAAACGACUCAGGUAGAGGCUGAGGAAGGCCGUGUUGUUUGUCUACCUGGGACUACACCUACUGAAAGAAGUUCUCAAGUUCUGAUUGAGUUCUAAAAUUUUUUGAAGAUUGGAAUUCUUCAUAUGUAAAAAGAGAAGAGAAAGACAUUCUUGAUUUUGGUGACUAGAGUUGUAGAUGCUGGAAGCUUUGCCACUAACAUUGAUGAACCAGAUGCAUGUCACCAGCCCAUCACGGUGAUUCUUAAUGCCGGCACCAUGGGCCCGGCACUGCCACGUUUUCCAAGGAACCUGCCGGAGCUCCUGCGGAAGCUGCUCCUCAGGCGAUGGAGUCCCUUCGCUGGUAGGCCCUUCUUCAGUCACCACAGGAUGCCUGCCAUUCAUGAACAAGAAGGAGAGGACGGGCUUUGAAUAAAAAACAGGAUCCAGGAAAUAUUUGUGAGGCCAUUUGGACUUCAGUGUGAAAUGGUGUUAAAAGAUGAAGUCAUUUAUUCAAGAAGUAAACCUCUGCCACCUGGACUGUGCGCAGACAUUUCAUUGAUUUUGUUUAAUAAACAUUUUCUGGCUUUGGGAGGUGUCUCUCUUGGUAGAACACAGUGUCAAAGAUGGACAAGAUGGACACAUAGUCCAUUAUUUGGUAUUGUUUGUGUAUGGGAGCAGACCACAAAUUAAUGUUUGGAGAACAAUUUUGUCAUAACACACUGUUGAGGCUCAGUUGUACAGAACUGGAAAAGUCUUCAGCUUGGCACAUGUCCUGAUUCAGCCUUUGUUUAACAUAUAUUCCAAUCCGGAUUCUAUCUUCACUGGCUACAAAGACCACCUGAUACGUGCACCACGACACAGGAGCUGCUGGAGAGGGGGUAGUGUUAUCACCUCAAACCCACAGCCAUAUUUUUCAAAAGCCAGCUUAGAGAGAGGUGUACUGAUAGCUGCAUAGAGAACAUGCAGUCCAUCCAUUCUUCCCAGUGAUGUACAUUUCUCAAUCAGUAACCACGUGGUAUACCAGCCUUGAGUGUCACAUCUCCCAACCAUACCAAAUGGAUCACCUAACUGGAGGUGGGGGGGGCCCUCAGAAAUGAGAUUUCGUAUUUACUGUAAAAUUGCCUUAUUUUUUCUUUUGAGGUGGAGUCUCACUCUGUUGCCUGGGCUGGAGUGCAAUGGUGUGAUCACUGCUCACUGCAACCUCCGCCUCCUGGGUUCAAGCAGUUCUCCUGCCUCAGCCUCCCAAGUAGCUGCAAUUACAGGUGCAUGCCACCACUCCCAGCAAAUUUUUAUAUUUUUAGUGGAGACAGGGUUUCACCAUGUUGACCAGGCUGGUCUCAAACUCCUGACCUCAGGUGAUCUGCCCACCUUGGCCUCCCAAAGUUCUGGGAUUAAAGGUACGAGCCACCGCAACUGGCUGAGAAUCUUUUUAUUUGCUGAUUUGUCUCUUGUGUAUUUUCUUUGUUCAGAUGUCUCUUCAGAUCUUUUUCUCACUUUUAAAUUGUUUUUUAAUUGUUAAGAAUUUUCUGUCUAGUUUAGAUAUAAGCCCUUUAUCAGACAUGUGUUUUGCAAAUAUUUUCUCCUAGUCUGUGGCUUGUAUUCUGUCUCUUAACACUCAUUUUAUUUUUACUUUUGGAACUAAAGAAGAAGAAUGGUCAGCUUUCCAUUAUUCUUGUAACAGUAAUGGCAGAACCAAGUCUGCUAAUGCUACACUGAGCAAAGAAAGUCACCUGGUGAAGUCCAACAUUAAUGAAAUGGGGUAGUACAUGCAGGCAGCGUUGGGGGUGGGGAGGGAACAAAUGCUUCUUGAGAGUAAUAUAAUCUGCCAUACCAUCCAGGAACCUACAAUGGCUAUCUAUUACCUUAUUCUCUGGUUUGUUUAAUGUUCGAAUCUUUCCGAAAGAUCCUUCAACCUUUCUGGAAGAAUCUAAUCUGAUAACACCAUCAAAAACACAUUACUUCUUUUGGCAUAAUUUAAAUUGUAAGACAUCAUUCACAUUUAUCAAUGUUACAUAUAUAAGAACUCACCCACCAUAUUCUUCCUUGAGGAAUUACAGCAUGUAAUUCUAUAAUCAUUUUUAUAAUCGUCUAACAAUUUUAUAAUGGAUUGGUUGCUUACUAUCAAUUUUUUAAAAGUCAUGGCUUCUCCAGUCAUUUCUUGCUUAUCGAAAUUAUUUCAUGAGAUGGGUCUCUCCUUGUAUAUUUGAAAAUGAGGUUUGCUUCCUUCUACUUAAAAAACAACUUGAACAUACCUGUUUGGAUCACAUGGUCUUGUCCUGAUAACUUGGAAGAGGUUGCUUCAGCAUUGUUCUUAUUGUUGUGGUGGUUAUUAUUAAUAUUGUUUCAUAUUCUGUUUAAAAAAUUAAAAUUUUACACAAGACCAAUGUCUUCUUUUCAAUUCCAGUACAUUUUUCAGAAGUAACUAAUGCUAUUGGCUUUGUGCAUUGUAAUUUCAGACCAUUUUAUAUGUCUUUAGUUAUAUGUACAGUAUACACACAUAUGUGUCAUAUUAUUCCAUUUUUUCUAGCAUUAAACAUUGCUAUGGAAAACUCUCGGAAAAAUA